rnacentral:rRNA from 1 species
CCUACGUGGGGCAGCAGUGGGGAAUAUUGCACAAUGGGCGAAAGCCUGAUGCAGCAACGCCGCGUGAGCGAUGAAGGCCUUCGGGUCGUAAAGCUCUGUCCUCAAGGAAGAUAAUGACGGUACUUGAGGCGGAAGACCCGGCUAACUACGUGCCAGCAGCCGCGGUAAUACGUAGGGGGCUGGCGUUAUCAGGAUUUACUGGGCGUAAGGGGUGCGUAGGUGGUUUCUUAAGUCAGCGGUAAAAGGAUACGGCUCAACCGUAGUAAGCCUUUGAAACUGGGGAACUUGAGUGCAGGGGAGGGGAGUGGAAUUCCUAGUGUAGCGGUGAAAUGCGUAGAUAUUAGGAGGAACACCAGUUGCGAAGGCGGCUCUCUGGACUGUAACUGACACUGAGGCACGAAAGCGUGGGGAGCAAACAGGAUUAGAUACCCCUGUAGGC